rnacentral:rRNA from 1 species
UACGUAGGGGGCUAGCGUUGUCCGGAUUUAUUGGGCGUAAAGAGCGUGUAGGCGGCCAGGUAGGUCUGCUGUGAAAACUCGAGGCUCAACCUCGAGACGUCGGCGGAAACCAUCUGGCUAGAGUCCGGAAGAGGAGAGUGGAAUUCCUGGUGUAGCGGUGGAAUGCGCAGAUAUCAGGAGGAACACCAAUAGCGAAGGCAGCUCGCUGGGACGUUACUGACACUGAGGCGCGAAAGCGUGGGGAGCGAACAGG